AAAGCUAUGAGAGAACAAAUCAUCUAGCCUAUGCAUAUCAUACUAGUCUCUAUUCAGAUUCCAAUCUUUAUAGGUCUAUGAAAGUUUAAACCAUUAACACUAAUAUCACAUAUUAAAGAGAAGGUAGAAAGUGAGGUUACCUUUGGAGCGUAUCUUGAAUCCCAAAAUGGUAUUCAAGUAGAGGGAGUUGUCCCUUAGCUAUUGAUUCCCCACCUUGUUCUCCAAAUAGGCACAAAAUAUGUUAUGCCUCCCCAAAGUAUCUUCACCAAGGUAGAAUGAGAAUGAGAGAAUAAGGAACCAAGAGAAGAAAAUGGGUGCUAGCCUUUUCUUCUCUGUGGUGGCCGGCCAAGGGAGACCAAGAAGGAGGCUUGAUGUCUUCCUCUCUUCCUAAAUGCCUAACUUGAAACGCUAAGGAAGUUUAAUUCUAUGGGUAUGAAUAUAUAGAGAUUUUUUGUCACACAUGUGUCCCCAAAAACCUCCAUGUGCCGCACCCUCCCUCUUCUUGGGCUUUUUAGGCUACUUUGGUGUCACACUUUGCCUAAGUCCAU
rnacentral:lncRNA from 1 species